GAUGAACGCUGGCGGCGUGCCUAAUACAUGCAAGUCGAGCGAACAGACGAGGAGCUUGCUCCUCUGACGUUAGCGGCGGACGGGUGAGUAACACGUGGAUAACCUACCUAUAAGACUGGGAUAACUUCGGGAAACCGGAGCUAAUACCGGAUAAUAUAUUGAACCGCAUUGUUCAAUAGUGAAAGACGGUUUUGCUGUCACUUAUAGAUGGAUCCGCGCCGCAUUAGCUAGUUGGUAAGGUAACGGCUUACCAAGGCAACGAUGCGUAGCCGACCUGAGGGGGUGGUCGGCCACACUGGAGCUGAGACACGGUCCAGACUCCUACGGGAGGCAGCAGUAGGGAAUCUUCCGCAAAGGGCGAAAGCCUGACGGAGCAACGCCGCGUGAGUGAUGAAGGUCUUCGGAUCGUAAAACUCUGUUAUUAGGGAAGAACAAAUGUGUAAGUAACUAUGCACGUCUUGACGGUACCUAAUCAGAAAGCCACGGCUAACUACGUG
rnacentral:rRNA from 1 species